CUCGUAACAAUAUUAUUAUAGUACGCUGGAACAAAAUAAUUAUAGUAUUAUAUUGAAGGUAUACAUCGCGUCAUCGUAAUAUUAUAAUAUUGAUAGAAAAAAAAAAAAAAUAAUAAUAAAAUAAAAAUAAAAAACCACAUAUAUUAUGUAUUAUCGUGUGAUUUUAUGGCACCGGUUAAACGAAAAGGGGUUUUUUUUUCCAUCUUUUCUUUAUAGAACAAUAAUAUUAUUACAAAACGCGUGCGUGGCGUGUACGUACCGAAACACGCGUGUAUAUUAUAAAUUAUGUACGGUCACUAAUACAGUUAUUUAUGUACAAUAAAUAAUUACUCAUAAAAAUGUUAAUAAUUAGUUGGUUUUUUUUUUUGUUUUUUUUUUUUUAAUAUUGCGUAUAACAUAAAAACGAGAAGAAAUUACGUGAGUGUGAAAAUUUUCAAAAAAAAAUUAUAAAAAAGGUAUUAUAUUCUGUACUACAUUAAUAUUAUGUUAUGUUAUA